rnacentral:tRNA from 1 species
GGCCGCCUAGCGUAAUGGCAACAUAUUUGACUUCAAAUCAAAAGAUUACAGGUUUGAUCUCUGUGGUGGGUA